GUGAAGGAUGUUCUAAAGAGGUUUAUGGAUUUGCCUAGCAGUAUAAAUGGUGUCAGAGACAAAGAUGCAACAAUGCCUUACUGCCAGUGUUUGGUCUGAUAGUUCCUGAUGCAGUUCCAAUUCUGUUUACUCUGCCAUGUUGGUAUUUGUGGUUCAGAGAUCCAUUUUACACUGGAGAGCAUUUCAACACCCUUUUCCUUGCCUGAAGUCUGAAAUAGUAUCAUAAAAUGAUAUCCAGGAACUCCAAUAUCUAGCGCGGACCUUGUUAACCUGGGCGACAUCCGAG